rnacentral:tRNA from 1 species
GCCGAAGUGGCGGAACUGGCAGACGCACGGGACUCAAAAUCCCGCGAUAGCAAUAUCGUGUCGGUUCGACCCCGACCUUCGGCA